CCGGUUGAUCCUGCCGGACCCGACCGCUAUCGGGGUAGGGCUAAGCCAUGCGAGUCGUGCGCCCGGGGGCGCCCGGGAGCGGCGCACGGCUCAGUAACACGUGCCUAACCUAACCUCGGGAGGGGGAUACCCCCGGGAAACUGGGGUCAAUCCCCCAUAGGGGAAGGGCGCUGGAAGGCCCCUUCCCCGAAAGGGCUGGCGGCCGAUCCGCCGCCAGCCGCCCGAGGGUGGGGGCACGGCCCAUCAGGUAGUUGGCGGGUUAAAGGCCCGCCAAGCCGAAGACGGGUAGGGGCGGUGAGAGCCGUGAGCCCCGAGAUGGGCACUGAGACAAGGGCCCAGGCCCUACGGGGCGCAGCAGGCGCGAAUACUCCGCAAUGCGGGCAACCGCGACGGGGCUACCCCGAGUGCCGGGCGAAGAGCCCGGCUUUUGCCCGGUCUAAAAAGCCGGGAGAAUAAGCGGGGGGCAAGUCUGGUGUCAGCCGCCGCGGUAAUACCAGCUCCGCGAGUGGUCGGGGUGUUUACUGGGCUUAAAGCGCCCGUAGCCGGCCCGGCAAGUCGCUCCUGAAAUCCCCGGGCUCAACCCGGGGG
rnacentral:rRNA from 1 species